GAUGAACGCUGGCGGCGUGCCUAAUACAUGCAAGUCGAGCGAACAGAUGAGGAGCUUGCUCCUCUGACGUUAGCGGCGGACGGGUGAGUAACACGUGGAUAACCUACCUAUAAGACUGGGAUAACUUCGGGAAACCGGAGCUAAUACCGGAUAAUAUAUUGAACCGCAUGGUUCAAUAGUGAAAGACGGUUUUGCUGUCACUUAUAGAUGGAUCCGCGCCGCAUUAGCUAGUUGGUAAGGUAACGGCUUACCAAGGCAACGAUGCGUAGCCGACGUGAGAGGGUGGUCGGCCACACGGGAACGGAGACACGGUCCAGGCGCCUACGGGAGGCAGCAGUAGGGAACCGUCGGCAAUGGGCGAAAGUCUGACGGAGCAACGCCGCGUGAGUGAUGAAGGUCUUCGGAGCGUAAUACUCUGUUAUGAGGGAUGAACAGAUGUGUAAGGAAAUAUGCACGGCUUGACGGUACUUAAUCAGAAAGCAACGGCUAACUACGUG
rnacentral:rRNA from 1 species